GCCCUCACUCAGGCCCUGACCGAUUCAGCUUCCUCUGUUGGUGAUGCUUUACAGGGGAGUGAGUGAGAGAGCGACAACAAGAGAGAGGGAGGCAGGGGGAGAAUAGAGAAAGCAAGCAGCACUCUGCACUGCCAGCCGCGGUAGCUCAAUAUGGAGUAACCGCGUAGGCUCGACAACGACGGGAGUACAAAGAACAACCCGCUUUGGAUCGAAAUUACAUUCACAAGGAAUAAGGGAUCACUUCCAAUAAUGAGAUACGACAUUGCAUACACACAAUCAACUUGAAGGGAUUAAAAUAGACUUAACAAUUUAUAUUUAUUAUUGAAAAAUGGCGAACGAGUCUCCAGCUAAAAGUCUAGUUGACAUAGACCUUGCCUCUUUGCGGGACCCAGCUGGUAUUUUCGAACUGGUGGAAGUGGUCGGCAAUGGCACCUAUGGACAAGUAUACAAGGGCCGACAUGUCAAGACAGGACAACUGGCGGCCAUCAAGGUCAUGGAUGUCACAGAGGAUGAAGAAGAGGAGAUUAAACUGGAGAUUAAUAUGCUGAAGAAGUACUCCCACCACAGAAACAUAGCCACCUAUUACGGAGCCUUCAUCAAGAAGAGCCCACCAGGACAUGACGACCAGCUAUGGCUGGUGAUGGAGUUCUGUGGUGCAGGCUCUAUCACAGACCUGGUGAAGAACACCAAGGGCAACACACUGAAGGAGGACUGGAUCGCCUACAUCUCCCGUGAGAUCCUCAGGGGGUUGGCUCACCUGCACGCCCACCAUGUGAUCCACCGUGACAUCAAGGGCCAGAACGUGCUGCUGACUGAGAACGCUGAGGUCAAACUGGUGGACUUUGGUGUGAGCGCCCAGCUGGACCGGACAGUGGGCCGGAGGAACACCUUCAUCGGGACACCCUAUUGGAUGGCGCCGGAGGUCAUUGCCUGCGACGAGAACCCAGACGCCACCUACGACUACAGAAGUGACUUGUGGUCCACUGGAAUCACAGCUAUAGAGAUGGCUGAGGGAGCUCCUCCACUGUGCGAUAUGCAUCCAAUGAGAGCGCUCUUCCUCAUCCCCAGAAACCCUCCUCCUCGACUCAAGUCAAAGAAAUGGUCUAAGAAGUUUUGCAGCUUCAUUGAAGGUUCCCUGGUGAAGAACUAUACCCAGCGCCCCCCCACCGACCAGCUGCUGAAACACCCCUUCAUCAGGGACCAGCCCAAUGAGAGGCAGGUCCGCAUCCAGCUCAAAGACCACAUCGACCGCACCAAGAAGAAGAGAGGGGAGAAGGAUGAUACAGAGUAUGAGUACAGUGGGAGUGAAGAAGAAGAGGAGGAAGCUCAGGAGCAGGAGGGGGAGCCCAGCUCUAUAGUGAACCAGCCAGGGGAAUCAACCCUGCGUAGGGACUUCAUCCGUCUGCAGCAGGAGAACAAGGAGCGCUCGGAGGCCCUGCGCAGACAGCAGCUCUUGCAGGAGCAGCAGCUCCGGGAGCAGGAGGAGUACAAGCGCCAACUACUGGCAGAGAGGCAGAAACGCAUCGAGCAGCAGAAAGAGCAAAGGAGGAGGCUGGAGGAGCAACAGCGUCGCGAGCGGGAGAUGAGGAGGCAGCAGGAGCGUGAACAGCGCCGCCGCGAGCAGGAUGACAAGAGGCGCAUGGAGGAGGUUGAACGCCGGCGUAAAGAGGAGGAGGAGCGCAGGAGGGCAGAGGAGGAGAAGAGGAGGGCUGACCGCGAGCAGGAGUACAUCCGUCGACAGUUGGAGGAGGAGCAGAGGCACCUGGAGAUCCUGCAGCAGCAGCUUCUCCACGAACAGGCCAUGCAGCUGGUGAGACCAAACUCUGCCGAUGAGAGGUACCGUAAGAACAUCCAAGGAUCUCCUCAGGCUGCCCAGGUUAAGGUCCAGCCCCCAGUUCCUCCCCGCGCCGCAGAGACCGUCGCUAAUGGAAACGCCCCCGUGGCCGCCCCGCCCGCCAUGCACAGACCGAUGGAAGCCCAGGUAACCACGGCAACCAAGAUGGCCUACCGGCAGUAGCUUAUUCCUCCUUUCGCUACACUGUCCUUUUCCUUAAUUAUUUUUCCAAUCCCUUCUUCUUUCCAAGUAGGUCUAACAGGACGGUCUCUCUCCCUCUCUCUCACUCUCUCUCCGGGUUGUGUAUCAGUAGUGGUGUCUAACUAGCUACAGUAGAUGACUGUUUUUGUGUUCACUAUCUUUCUGUUCUCCCCCUCCCUUUGUUCUAGCCUCCGCUCUAGCUGAAUUCUUUCACUGUGCGGAGAAAUGUGGGCGUUGUUCUCUGUCCCUUAAUGAUGACAUAGUUGAACUUUCUGGUCCCUUAAUGGGUUCCUCCAAUGUCUUUGAUGCUUCCCUGGGGGACAGCCUAUCCUCCACCCCUGUGUUAGUAUGAAGUCCAGGCUGCUUGCUUCUGAUCUGGCCAGUCACUGUUCAAUACCAGCUUCACCCACUCACUCUAUCUCUGACUUCCUUCUGUAUUAUGUGUGUAUGUGAGUGUAUGCAUUGCCAGGUUGUUGAUUGAGAUGGUAAAUUUUUUAUAAAAGUAUAGCUGUUACAUUGGGACUGUGUGCUAAACAACACAAACACAUCCAGAAUUCAUCUUUCUGUUUUCAUAGUGACUCAGUAUAUUUCUCAUCUCAACUGCUCAGGGAAAAAGACUCAACCAGCCCAGCAUGAAUACAGUCAUUGUUACAGUUCACCAUUCAGGGCAACAUUCUUUUUUUGGAUAAUGUCAUGGUGAUUAGAUGAAACAUUGUUGAAUUUGGUGGCAAUGAUGAUGAUGUAAUUGAUUGCUAAAUUUUUUAGCAGAGCCAUUUAAAUGCAUUAGUCACUGCACUCGUUAGUGACACGUCAUUAGAGACAGAUAUGAAGCGUGAUGACAUGGGCUCGUUACAAAAUACUCAUUUGUUGAGGGAUAUGUCUCUUUCUAUGGGGCUUCAUGUCUGAGGGCUUCUCAGUACAUAUUUGAAAGUAAUAGGACAUUGAAUAAUUUCAGCUAUAAACCUAGUAUUGAUAUGUUCCUAUUGGAUGAUACUCUUCUCAGUUACUUUUCACCAAAAAAGUAUCCUUGAAUAUGUGCAUGCCAUAUGUGAGUAUGUGUGAUUGUGUCUGUCCAUGCAUGAUGCUAGCUCAUCUGUGUAUGCCUUGUUUAUGUGAUCCAUGCUCAUUCUCACAACUGGUGAUGAGACUGAAGCAUCAUGAGCACCAAAACAGAUAGAGCUGUCAUUGGCUGUCUGUGAUGUGAAUCAAUCAAAUCUGUCUUCCUAAGACUUCAUAUUGGUUGCAUGACUGCUCCACCCAUUUUUAUGCUUCCUGAAGCUUCCGUAUCCAAUCACUGUCUGCUGCCUGUGUUUGUGGUUUUGUUCUCUUGUUGUGUCUCCCUCCUCCUCCACCAUUCCUCCCAAUGUGUCCUUCCUCUCUGAUGAACCCCGUCUGUCUAUCUGUCUCUGGAAGGUCCAAUGGUCCCACCUGGCCUCUCUAAAGAGCAGCAUCGCCACUCCCCCUGUUGUCUCACGCUCUCAUUCCUUCAGUGAGCCCAUCGUCCCUGGUUUUGCACACCUCAACCUACGCUCUCAGGAGCAGCACCAUCAACCUGCACCAUCAUCAUCAUCAUCGCCCGCACACACUGACCUGCAGCCCCACCCGCAGCCUAGGGCCACUCCCCUCGAAAAGGCCCCCACAGACGACUCCCCUCCCAGGGUAAGAACAGGCCUAUCCCCUGGCAAAGGAGAGUAGACUGUUAGUCAUUUGACGACUUUACUAGGAAGUCUGAACUGUAGACAGGUAGACUGGUAGUCACUAGAUGGCCAUGCUGGAGAGGACAAUACUGGAGUGAAUGAGCAGAGUGACGUUGUCUCAGUAAUAGCUAAGAUGGGGCGACCUCCUCCUUGAGCUCUGCUGCCCGACCCAAGCCCGAUGGGCCCCAACAUUAUACAUCGGGUUAGGGCAGGGUAAGGCUUAUUUUUUCAUCAGUAACUAGGGUACGGGCAGGGCUCGGGUAUCACUAAAUUGAUCGCUAACAUUUUGAAGCUGAGCCAUUUGCUCUGCUGCGCUGUACAGUCAUAUCUGACUAAGAUCAUAACAUGGCAUCAGAAGUGUUUCAACCUAGUAAAAUAUAAAACAGGAGAGAUUAUUUCACUGAAAAUAAUUGUUGCUUGAGUUUUGAGUGAUGAAAGUAGCUCACAGCUAACUGCUCUCUGUCUCGUCAUUGAGCAGAGCAGCCCAAGCGGAACCGUUGCUAUGGAUACUCUCAGACCCAGAGCCGCCAUGAGAAAAGCACAUGCAGAGCGAACAGAGUGCAUGAGCGAGUGACGGACAGAGAGGAGCAGCUAAUGGAUUUGCUAAUGGAGGAAGUUAUUUCUGAUUUUGGGUUUUGAGCAGGGCCGGGCCUUCAAUUUCUCAGAAUCAAUCGGACCUUAACGUCGCGGACAUGCCUCGGGCUCUGACUUAAAAUUCAAGCCUGUGCAGGGCUCUACCACCUCCUCACCCUGGCCUGCUGAGAGGAUUCAGAGAGAGCAGAACGUUAUGAAAGGAUUAGAGGUCCAUUUUCUGUUCUCUAUUCCCCCUCUAUUGUCUCUCCUCACAGAACCCUCCCUCGUUCAGCCUCCCAGACCUCAGAAGGAGACUGUUUUAAAAAUAGCAGAGAAAGAAAGCUGCAGCAGCAAUCACUUGAAUGCUGAGUGCUUUUACAUCUCAGCAUUUUAGAAAUGCUCCCAAAUGAAUGGGACGCUGGAGGCUAUCACAAAUGAGGGGUAGGAUUCCGUCUGUUCUAGGAAAAUAUUCAUCAUGUUGAAAUCUAGAUGUUGGCCCCUUUUUUGUCCCCCCCAUCUGCACAAAUUAGAGGUGGAAUUAUUGUCCUCUCUUCACAUAGGGCCUACCUAUCAAACAUCACUUCCUCUUCCCUGGUGAGGUAUGAGUAUGUCAUUUCCUGUUCUGCCCCCUCCACUUCCCAAACGAGCCUCUGUUAUUGUCUCAAAUCAAUGUCAGUGUUAGUAUUCCUUCUGAAUGGAGAGGCUGUUUGUUCUGCUCUGCUUUGGAUGCUGCGCCCUGUUCUUAGGCUAUUUCCCCUCCUGUCCCCUGGAAACUACUACAGAGGAAUGCUAACAAAUCAAUAAUAUAACCUGACAACUGUGUUUGUGUUAAGUCAGGGGUUGAUAAGGGGAAGAGUGUGGAUAUAAUGCGGUCUUUUGCUGUGUAUCAGACCUAACUCUUUCAGUGGGGGGACUUUACACAGUGUGGGUAUGGGGGGGAACAUCAUUUGGACAUUGUAGAAACGUUGUCGGGACCUUGUACGGAUGUCUUAAAAGUGUGUCUAGCAUUUGUGCUCCUGGCACCCCUAUGUCACGCUCUCUCGUGCAUACACGCGCUCCGAGUGUGUGUGUCCGUAGAGUUUGUGUGAGAGCUGGCAUCUGUCUGUAUGGAAGGUUCCUGUGAGGACAACGUCCAGGUCUCCAGUACUGUCAUGCAGGGACUCCCCUUUCCAUGGCAAUGCCACACCUAGCAACCCGGUGAGCCAGAGGAAAGCCAGCAGUGCUGCAGCAGAGCCGCGUCUGCUGUGGGAGCGGGUGGAGAAGCUGGUCCCCAGGCCAGGCAGUGGUAGUAGUGGUAGUACUGGCAGUUCCUCUGGCUCCAGUAACUCCAGCUCUCACAGCGGCUCAGGGGAGAGAUUCAGAGCCCGCUGACCUGACGGCACUGGCCAAAGAACUGCGUGCAGUGGAGGAUGUUCCACGCCCCCACAAGGUGACGGACUACUCCUCAUCCAGUGAAGAGUCGGGCACCACAGAUGAGGAUGAUGAUGAAGAGGUGGACCAGGAGGGGGGGGAGGAGUCUACCUCAGGACCAGAGGACUCUCGGGCUGUCUCUUCGAGGCUGAGCAACGGGGAGACGGAGUCAGUGAAGACUAUGAUCGUUCACGAGGAGGGCGAGAGUGACGCUAAAACCACACCCUGUAAAGAUGGCACUCUGAUCGUCAGACCGAGCCAUUCUUCCAGCAACAGCAUGCAGAAGCACAAGUCCUCCUCCUCCUUCACUCCCUUUAUUGAUCCACGCCUCCUCCAGGUCUCUCCAUCCGGCGCCGCUCUCAAUAACCUGGCUUCUGGGAACGACGCUAGGCUGGCAGAGGCACUGAGGGCGGACCCGUCACGUAAAGGCUCCGUGGUCAAUGUGAACCCUGUCAACACACGACCACAAAGCGACACCCCAGAGAUCCGCAAGUAUAAGAAGAGGUUUAACUCUGAGAUCCUGUGUGCAGCACUCUGGGGUGAGUGGUCACAAUUAUCUCUGCUAUGUAGUUAUCACAGUAAUAUUAGUCUUCACUACCAGGUGACAGCAAUCUAAAUGCAAAACUGUGUGUGUGUAGGAGUGAACCUCCUGGUGGGCACAGAGAGUGGUCUGAUGCUGCUGGACCGUAGCGGUCAGGGGAAGGUCUACCCCCUAAUCAGCCGACGCCGCUUCCAACAGAUGGACGUACUAGAGGGACUCAACGUCCUGGUCACUAUAUCAGGCAAGAAGAACAAGCUGCGUGUUUACUAUCUGUCCUGGCUGAGGAACAAGAUCCUGCACAACGACCCUGAGGUGGAGAAGAAACAGGGCUGGGUCACUGUGGGAGACCUGGAGGGCGCUGUGCACUACAAAGUUGUGAAAUACGAGAGGAUCAAGUUUUUGGUUCUGGCCCUGAAGAACUCGGUGGAGGUCUAUGCAUGGGCACCGAAGCCAUACCACAAGUUCAUGGCUUUCAAGUCGUUUGGUGACCUGGUGCACAAGCCCCUGCUGGUUGACCUGACGGUGGAGGAAGGUCAGAGAUUAAAGGUCAUCUAUGGCUCCAGUAACGGAUUUCAUGCCGUUGACGUGGACUCGGGGGCAGUCUACGACAUCUACCUGCCCACCCAUAUCCAGACCAGUAUCCAGUCCCAUGCCAUCAUCAUCCUGCCCAACACAGAUGGCAUUGAGCUGCUAGUGUGUUACGAGGACGAGGGUGUCUAUGUCAACACCUAUGGACGCAUCACCAAGGACGUGGUGCUGCAGUGGGGCGAGAUGCCCACUUCUGUGGCCUACAUACGUUCUAACCAGAUUAUGGGCUGGGGGGAGAAGGCCAUAGAGAUCAGGUCUGUGGAGACCGGACACCUGGACGGGGUCUUCAUGCACAAGAGAGCCCAGAGACUCAAGUUCCUGUGUGAGAGGAAUGACAAGGUGUUCUUUGCCUCGGUGCGGUCCGGAGGAGCCAGCCAGGUGUACUUUAUGACCCUGGGGCGUACCUCUCUGCUCAGCUGGUAGAGAAAGACCAUGCCCCCUCUACACUGGAAACCAACCAACCGCGUUUUACCCAACGUUCAGUGAUGCCAACGGACAAAGGCCAACCAUCUCCGUCUUAGCUACGACCUUCGACCCGGAGCAUCAUGUUAUAUUGAGGAUACAUACAACAUCCAGAUGCCGUCUCCCCAGCCGUGAAUACCAGAUAUGAGAAUUGUUCAAAAUUAAGUUAAUUGAUUAUAAAACAACAAAAAUAAAGGGGGGAACGGUUUGCCCCGCUGUGGUGCUCAACUGAUUGUGGACACGUCUGUGCGGGGUCGUUGCCCUGAACACCUGUGACCUCUGUGUGUGUCGUUCCUAGUUACUGACUGUGCUGUGGGCUUGAAGUUUACUAACUACUCUCUGCAUCUUCUGCUCGUAUUUCAGGAACCCCCUUCCACCCCACCCUUAGCGAGGGAGGAGCUGGGGUGGAGCAUACAGUGUUAAUGCUACAGUAGUGUAUGUAAAUGUAUUUCUGUUUGGUACAAUGAUUGCUGACUGCAAGGGGGCGGAGGGGGUUGAAGCUGUCAGUCAUGGAGGAGGCGGGAGUAGAGAAGCCGAGCAAGGGAGCCAAUUUGUUCGAUGCCAUGAUGACAGAAGGUGGAAGGGGCCAAGGCGUUUUACCGUAAAUCUGGUAGUAUCUGAGAGGACUCAGCUGGACUGUGUGUUGAUAGAGUUAAGACAGCUACAGUAUUUUAAUGGGCGCGGUCAAAGAAAAUGAUUUUAUCCGGAUGGACUUCAGACUAGUAUUUUUUAUUAUAAAUUCCCUAAAAAAAGUGAAACUAUGUGGAGUUAAUAUUUCUUUUACCUUAUUUUCUAAAAUCACAUUUGCACAGUCUCCAGUUUUCUUGAUUUUAUUCCAACCCACAACACAUUGAAGUGUUUUAGGAGUUAGAGAGAGUGGGUGGGUUAGAAAAGGAAACCAUGUCUAUGUAUAAUAAAAUGUAAUUUAAUCUCAUCCAUAGUUUCAGUGGUCAUGGUAGUGGAUCCCUGUGUGAUCCGGCUUGGACCAUCAGAGGGUCCAGGAUGGAGGACAUGGUCCGGAUGUGAAUAGACAGAUAUAAUAAAAGAGAGUGGAGGAGAAGGGUAAGGUGAUAGUAUUUUGUGUGUGUGUGUGUGGUUGGUUGGUUGGUUGUAUAGGGGCCAAUAGAUGAGAGAGGAGGGGUGUUGAUGUACGUUUUUGUAGCAGAAAGGUUACACAUGGUCAGCACAACUCAAUGGACUCCUAGUCAGUGGAUAGAACAAAACUGUUUUAUUGUUCUUUUGAUAUUUCAGCUUUUUGUUUUUCAUUUGUAUCUUUUCAUGAAUGCAGUGCACUAAGUGUCAAGAAUGUAGAAAGAAGUAUACUGUGUGGUAGUCGAAGGCAUGAGACUUUUAUUUGUGUUCCUUGUCACAAGUGAUUGAUUUCGAUGUUCAAUUUCAAAGUAACACAAGUGAAUACUAAAUGAAGGCUCCGCUAUUAAAGAUGUUGAUUUUCCUUUCACAAACUCAAUGUUUUAAAGUGCAUCAGAGCUGGAGAGGGAGCAGCUCUGAGUUGAGACGAUGCUAGGCUAUAGUAGUUUUCUGUGGAGCCAGUAUGCUCACAGUAGCCCAAUCAACCUUAUUCACCAACAGGGCUUAGUCCUUAGUGUAACUGUAAACAACAUGACCACGCUUAGCUAAGUCGUCUUGAGCACGGUACGUUUGUCCAAAUCAGAGGAGAGCAGUCUAGUCACCAGGAGCCAGAACACAGGUGACCUGACCAUUGUGAUUCUACAGCUCUCGUUUGACGGUGUUCAUGACGGAAACCCACUUUGGGCAGAAUCCUUUUUUUCACUGUUAAAGGCUUUAGUCUGUACAUAUAUGUAAAGAAGACUAUUCAAUUAACUGCAAUAUCCCCUGCUACGGCUCUCCCACAACAGUGGUGUAUCUAACCUUCGUUGACCAUGGUGACAAACAAGAACAACAUCAACAACAGGCUAUUAUCUUGUUUUCCCACAGAACACAACUGUGUUUUAAUGGUGGUGAUGGAUCAAAGCUAUUUCACCCAAGUGGACAGACUCUGUACACUGACUAUGUGUCCGACAGUGGGUCAAUGAUCUCUGGAUCUUUCUCAUAUUAACAGUCAUGUCAUUAUGUGUGUAGAGCUGUGGGAAAGGCAUUGCAAAUUACAUGUCACAGAAUUGUUUCACGAGCCAACUUCUAUAUGGAAAAAGAAGCCCGUUUGAAGAGCGAACCCCAAUGCUGUAUGUGUGUGUUUUAAUAGCCUCCCAAUGCUGACCCACUAUGUCUUUCUGGUUGCAUCAAGGCCUUCAUGAGGCAUAAGUUACUUAAUUAAGAUUAUUGUUAUUGAUAUUCUUAUUAAUGGAAAAAGAUGAAACAUUUUUGCAAUCUGAAAAGCAUUCGCUUGCUGAUUUAACCUUUUUUUUUUAAGUGCUAAGAUGGCAACAUUAAAUGUUUUUCUUUAAAUUACAAAAGCACUUUGUUGAUCUCACUUGAAGCAUUUUGUAUUCUUAAGUUUUAACUUGGUUAAGAAGCUUAAUAAUAGUUUGUGUAAGUUUAUGUACUCUGCAGUGGUUGAAUAUUAUAAUGCUCACGUUAGGUCGAGAAAAUGGAAAUGUUUACAGAGGCAAUGUUUUGUUACACUAAUGUGCAUCAUAUUUAUGUUUUUUUGUUGCUUGUUUUGUAUUGAAUGUUAUUUUAGUCAAUAAUCCUAAAUGAUGCCAUUGUUUUUCUCUCUCAAAUAACCAACUCACAACACAAUAAAGAAUAUACUUGCAAUAUUUAAUUUUCCAGAUGUUCCCAUAACAUUAAUCCAGCGUUGUGGGGACAUUGUAGUGAUGUACAGUCCGUUUCCUGCAGGCUUGGAUGUCAGUCAGGCUUGGGUGUUUUUCUCCAGUGUUUCUGCCAUGCUACUCUAAUUUAUGUCCUCUCUAUGUAUGACAGGAAGUCCUGUAUUUUCCUGAAGGUUUUUUUUCUUUGAAUAAACUAAAGUAAUUUAAAGAC